AAAAUGUAUAGUUCGACUUAAGCCAGGUUUCAGAU
rnacentral:sRNA from 1 species